rnacentral:rRNA from 1 species
CUUCGGGGUACACGAGCGGCGAACGGGUGAGUAACACGUGGGUAACCUGCCCUGUACUCUGGGAUAAGCCUGGGAAACUAGGUCUAAUACCGGAUACGACCUGUCACUGCAUGGUGGUGGGUGGAAAGUUCCGGCGGUAUGGGAUGGACCCGCGGCCUAUCAGCUUGUUGGUGGGGUAAUGGCCUACCAAGGCGACGACGGGUAGCCGGCCUGAGAGGGUGACCGGCCACACUGGGACUGAGACACGGCCCAGACUCCUACGGGAGGCAGCAGUGGGGAAUAUUGCACAAUGGGCGAAAGCCUGAUGCAGCGACGCCGCGUGAGGGAUGACGGCCUUCGGGUUGUAAACCUCUUUCAGCAGGGACGAAGCGUGAGUGACGGUACCUGCAGAAGAAGCACCGGCUAACUACGUGCCAGCAGCCGCGGUAAUACGUAGGGUGCGAGCGUUGUCCGGAAUUAUUGGGCGUAAAGAGCUCGUAGGCGGUUUGUUGCGUCGGCUGUGAAAACUUCACGCUUAACGUGGAGCCUGCAGUCGAUACGGGCAGACUUGAGUUCGGCAGGGGAGACUGGAAUUCCUGGUGUAGCGGUGAAAUGCGCAGAUAUCAGGAGGAACACCGGUGGCGAAGGCGGGUCUCUGGGCCGAUACUGACGCUGAGGAGCGAAAGCGUGGGGAGCGAACAGGAUUAGAUACCCUGGUAGUCCACGCCGUAAACGGUGGGUGCUAGGUGUGGGGGACUUCC